rnacentral:snoRNA from 1 species
CCCAGCUGUAGGCAACUUCCUAGGGUUGCUUUAUACCUAGAUAAGCAUUACACUGCUGAGAGAAAAGCAGCCAAUAGCUGGCAGGCAUCCUGGGCCUGGUUCUUGCCAAAUU